UACGUAGGGGGCAAGCGUUGUCCGGAUUUAUUGGGCGUAAAGCGCUCGCAGGUGGUUCAUUGCGUCGUGCGUGAAAGACCCCGGCUCAACUGGGGAGGGUCGUGCGAAACGGGUGAACUAGAGACCAGGAGAGGUGAGUGGAAUUCCCAGUGUAGCGGUGAAAUGCGUAGAUAUUGGGAGGAACACCAGUGGCGAAGGCGGCUCACUGGACUGGUACUGACGCUGAUGCGCGAAAGCGUGGGGAGCAAACAGG
rnacentral:rRNA from 1 species